CAACAGCAAAAUGUCCUGCUGAGCAAGCAUUUGGUGGACAGUUUCAAAGUAUCACAGGGUAAAAAGUGAAUGCUAGAAAUGAUCUAAUCCAACCUUUCAUCAUAAAUACAUUUGGGGUAUAUGAUUGUCUUUCUUUUCUACAGAUGAAGAGGUAAACUUGAAAUUUGGAGUUAUAAAUGACAGCUGCAAUGUUAUGCCAACUUGAUUUAGCAUAAAAGUUAUUUCUGUAUUUUGAUUGCUCAGCAUCAAGAUCAUCUGGAUCCACAUAGGUGCUGGUGAUUCAGCAGAGAGCAAGAGAGGACAAGUCCCUGCUCUCCGAGUUAUAUUCUAUAAGGCGGCAGGGACUAUUUUGAUAGGAGCCUUCAGGGAAGCCCUCACAGUAAGGCGAUCAGAAUUAAGUAAGGAACUGAACCACAGGAAUAUCUGGGGGAAGAGUUUUCCAAAUGGAACAGCAACAGAAGGGCUUUAAGAUCCCCAUAGGCUGCACCAGAAUGUAAUGGACAGUAGGGGACCUGUACCUCAGCUACUGCUUCUGUGUCUGUGAGUCCCCACUGGAAACACUUGCAAAAGGCCUAUUUGCGUGCGAUCGGGUCAGUCACCCUUACUUGAGUGGCAUGUG